UACGGGGGGAGCAAGCGUUGUUCGGAUUUACUGGGCGUAAAGGGCGGGUAGGCGGCCACCGCAAGUCAGUUGUGAAAUCUCCGGGCUUAACCCGGAAAGGUCAACUGAUACUGCGGGGCUAGAGUGCAGAAGGGGCAACUGGAAUUCUCGGUGUAGCGGUGAAAUGCGUAGAUAUCGAGAGGAACACCAGUGGCGAAGGCGGCUACCUGGACAGACACUGACGCUGAGGCGCGAAAGCGUGGGGAGCAAACAGG
rnacentral:rRNA from 1 species